AGUGAACGCUGGCGGUAGGCCUAACACAUGCAAGUCGAACGGCAGCACAGUAAGAGCUUGCUCUUACGGGUGGCGAGUGGCGGACGGGUGAGGAAUACAUCGGAAUCUACUUUUUCGUGGAGGAUAACGUAGGGAAACUUACGCUAAUACCGCAUACGACCUACGGGUGAAAGCAGGGGAUCUUCGGACCUUGCGCGAUUGAAUGAGCCGAUGUCGGAUUAGCUAGUUGGCGGGGUAAAGGCCCACCAAGGCGACGAUCCGUAGCUGGUCUGAGAGGAUGAUCAGCCACACUGGAACUGAGACACGGUCCAGACUCCUACGGGAGGCAGCAGUGGGGAAUAUUGGACAAUGGGCGCAAGCCUGAUCCAGCCAUACCGCGUGGGUGAAGAAGGCCUUCAGGUUGUAAAGCCCUUUUGUUGGGAAAGAAAAGCAGCAGGUUAAUACCCCGCUGUUCUGACGGUACCCAAAGAAUAAGCACCGGCUAACUUCGUG
rnacentral:rRNA from 1 species